GUGCCGCACCGCCGGUAGUAAGGGGCGGGGGCAAGCGUUGUUCGGAAUUACUGGGCGUAAAGGGCUCGUAGGCGGCCAACUAAGUCGGACGUGAAAUCCCCAGGCUCAACCUGGGAACUGCGUCUGAUACUGGAUGGCUUGAAUCCGGGAGAGGGAUGCAGAAUUCCAGGUGUAGCGGUGAAAUGCGUAGAUAUCUGGAGGAAUACCGGUGGCGAAGGCGCAUCCUGGACCGGCAUUGACGCUGAGGAGCGAAAGCCAGGGGAGCAAACGGG
rnacentral:rRNA from 1 species